AUUGAACGCUGGCGGCAGGCCUAACACAUGCAAGUCGAACGAGUGGCGGACGGGUGAGUAGUGUCUGGGAAACUGCCUGAUGGAGGGGGAUAACUACUGGAAACGGUAGCUAAUACCGAAUAACAUCGGAUGUGCACAGAUGGGAUUAGCUAGUAGGUGGGGUAAAGGCACACCUAGGCGACGAGCCCGAGCUGGUCUGAGAGGAUGACCAGCCACACUGGAACUGAGACACGGUCCAGACUCCUACGGGAGGCAGCAGGGGGGAAGAUUGCACAAUGGGCGCAAGCCUGAUGCAGCCAUGCCGCGUGUAUGAAGAAGGCCUUCGGGUUGUAAAGUACGUUCAGCGGGGAGGCGUUACCCGCAGAAGAAGCACCGGCUAACUCCGUGCCAGCCGCCGCGGUAAUUC
rnacentral:rRNA from 1 species